rnacentral:lncRNA from 1 species
UUUUUUUUUUGAGCACUCCAUAGCCUCAGUAAUAGUAUCAGGCCUUGGGAUCUGUUAAGCACUGAGUGAGUGUUCAUCCCUGCACUGGUGCUCUGGUGAGCACUGAAUGACCUGUCCUAAGUACCUUAUCAACACUUAUGUCAGUAAACCGAAUGGUUCCCAGAGGUGAAAUGGGAUCUGCUAUAGUUGAAGUGCCGUGCACACAAACACAGUAGUUGUUUGGCUCAUGACUGGUGUGACCUCCGCACAGAUGGGUCCUUCCAAAUAGCCUUGGAAGGCUCUUGUCCUAGUCUGGAGGGCCUUCCUUGGUUCCUUCUGCUGCCUGGACACACAGCUUCUCUGUUUAGCUUCUACCCAACAUAUCCUGAUGCAUUUGUUCUGUACAAAGACUAUAGCUUCCUCUAAGAGAUCCAAUAGGGCAACAGCAAUUUACCUACCUGGCUACUGUUUUCUGGUUUUGCUAAUUCAUUGUUCCGGGUUACCUCUCUGAUUUCUCCUUGCAGUGUGGUGACACAUGGAUGCACAAAUGUUCCUAUUACCUCUCUGCUCCACGCAUUUCCUACGCGGAACACUUUGUGGAGAAAGAACAAGAACAAAAGCUUGUUUUCCUGUAAGGCCUCCUGUCAAGGUUGCCUGGCUCCUCUGUUCUUCAUCUCCUGGCAAGAUGGAGAUAGAGGAGACCAAAGAUGCACCGGCAGGGAAUCGAGGGCAGGAGGUGCGCCCUGAAACACACUCCCUCCUCAGAAACUAAGUUUCUCCACCUCAGGCAGAUAUGACAAGGCUUCCUCUCUUUGAUGUCAUAUAUGUGCAUGAGCACUUUGCUUCUGUUUGAGCCAUGAGACUUUCCUCAUCUGUGAAAUGGGAGUGUAACACCCAGGUUGGGUGGGAAAAUCAAAUGAGAUAAUGUACUUGAUGCAUAGUGAGUUUUAGAGUAACAGCUGAUUGUGUCUCCCAACCUCCCUGUCCUGUCCUCCACAGAGCCUACUGGGGUUUCAACAGCCCCUGCAUAGAGGAAAGGGAUGCCAUACUCAGUAUUCCUGCUGCCGGUCCUCUCUUCCUGGUUAAACAGGAACAGUAAGAUCAAAGAUUGGAUUCUGAGGUACCAUCUCACCAGGUCAUUUCAGCCUGUGUGGGUACUUCCUUCUCCUGGCUGUCAUCGGCCCAAUGCCUGAACACCAAGCUACCUCAGGCAUCAGUGCAACCCCCAACGUGGGUAUCUGAAACCCUGAUGUUGAGGGGUGUCUCUGCAGCAUCUGGCCUCCGGCCUCAGCAGAACUCCUGGCAGAGGUGGUGGUAUAGCGUCCCAGGCAGUGUCGCAGAGCUGGGGAGGGGAAGGGCAGAGCCUGAGCUGCAGUCCUCCUUCUCCCUCCCUGGCCCUCGGUGGUUGCUAAGCAGUUUCUAUGGCAGCAGCAUCCUCAGACUCAACUUUCACCCUCAUUUAGAGCCAAUUAAGGUAAAAUAGUGAGGGGCGGGAGCGGAGUGGCAACAUAACGGGAGGCAGGGAAGCACUUGGAGGCUGUGAGCAAAGCUUUACUCUGUCAGACGCAAAGGCACAGACAUCCAGACGCAGCUGCAGUCGUCUUGCCUCGCUGCAGCCUGCUGAGCUUGCUGAGCCUGCCGAGCAGCCGCACUGAAGACCUCAGGACCCUUGCCAGCACUGGAGAUCUGAGAUCGUCAGGUGUGCCUUUCCCACUCUCUGCUCCAGCCUGGCCUGCUGCCCCAGCCCCUGACAUCCCAUCACGCCGAUUCUCUGGCUGCUUGGCACCUGUGUUUAUUUACUUUCUUACUAUCCACACUUGAUUGGAAGGAAGAAAGGGAAAGUUUUUAAAAAAUGCCCAUCGCACAGUUGCUGGAACUAUGGAAGAAGAUCGAGGUGGAACCCAUGGAGACAGAGACCGCCGAAGAGGAACUCGCCUUGGAUGUUGAGCCCACCCCAGAAGAUACCACAGAAGAAGGCAAAGGAGACACAACCUCCUCAGCUGAGACGCAGCCAGCCUCCUCAUCGUCCGCAGAGCCCUGCUCCAGCACUUGUUCCCAACCUGACCAGGAAUCCCUCUUGUCCUGGACUCCGCUUCCCCGUUCCAGCCUGGCGUGCAGCUGUGCUCCUCCGUGGGGAAACAUGGACUGCGGCCCCCACCUGGAACCACCCUGCCCUGUUCUCCCCGAGCCGCUGUAUCUGCAUAACUAGAGAGGAGGCAGAACUCAGCACCACACUCUUCCCCACCCCAGCCAAAAAUCCAUGAAAAAAAAUCCUUAUGUUUCAAUCAAACUUGGUCAUUGCAGAUUGAAAUAAUUAAAAUAAACUUGAUCACGAAGGCCACAAGAGUCUACA